GCUGUGGGCAUCUGGCACUGCGGCUCCUGCAUGAAGCCCGUCGCGGGCGGCGCCUGGACCUACAACAGCACUUCUGCUGUCACAGUGAAGUCUGCC
rnacentral:miRNA from 1 species